UACGUAGGGCGCAAGCGUUGUCCGGAAUUAUUGGGCGUAAAGAGCUCGUAGGCGGUUUGUCGCGUCUGCUGUGAAAACUCGAGGCUCAACCUCGGGCUUGCAGUGGGUACGGGCAGACUAGAGUGCGGUAGGGGUGACUGGAAUUCCUGGUGUAGCGGUGGAAUGCGCAGAUAUCAGGAGGAACACCGAUGGCGAAGGCAGGUCUCUGGGCAUUAACUGACGCUGAGGAGCGAAAGCAUGGGGAGCGAACAGG
rnacentral:rRNA from 1 species